GUAAGUGCCCAUAUUUAUAGCUGUAAUUACUAGGUUUUGCUUUUCAACGGUAUUGUUUGGACCACAAGUAUGUUUCAAGCGCUCCCCAGCGGGAACGACGGUCAACGGAGCAUUAUGAUUAGAACUAAUCACAAUAAUAUAUAGAACGAAAGAUCAAAACAGCAGGGUUGGCUCCUAGACUUCUCCAUUUUGAGGUAAUUCAAAAAUUCAUGUUGGUAAUGUUAUUUAGGCAGAUUAAUUUAUUAAUAUAGCUAAAUUGGUCUUUAAUUUAAAUUAGAUCACCUGCAUAUGAUAGAGGUAAAAGUUGAGAAUGUUUACAGAGUAAGUAGCAGAUGUAUCUCUAAGACCAUAAUAUAAUUGGAGCCUUGGUUAUCCAGUCAUAUAUAUAGGUGUCAUCACUAUGUAUGGUUUGUAGUUAUUUUCCAGUUUCUACAAAAGUUAGCUUUGGUAUAGUGGUUGCAUUGAAGUAGAACCUAUUGAGUUCUACAGUGCUUGAGUGUCGAGAUAUUUCCUAUUACGUAUUCCUGAUCCAUUGUGUGUCUAAUCAGUUUUGCGCGUAAAAUUUUCAAAUUGACAUUCACUUAAUGAUAGUUUCACGAAGUUAUUUGAAAAGACCCUUUGAGCUUAUUGAAAGCCAAAAACAAAAUUAAUGUUGAUACGCUGAAAUUCCUCUUUUCAACUGCCACCAAGUUGUAGAGUGCAUAACAGAUUCAAUUUUACCUCCUAAGAUUAGUAUUAGUAUUCAACAGUGGUAGCUUGUUUAGUUUAUUGUUUGACUUGCAAAUUUUUUGGAUAAUAGUUUUCUUUCAGGUGAAUAACUAUUAUUUUUUUAAAGCUUCAAUUUAAGUUGGUUUGGUAUCGGCAGACAGCAGAAAAUGUCCUUCCACAUUUGUGUUUUUGUACUAUUAACUGGUCUUUAAAGCUUGAAUUUAAGUGGCACAUGCUAGGAUUGUGGAUUUAGAAUUAGCAGCAUCAGUGUUUGGGAUUUUGGUGAAAUUAGCAGCAUGAGUCUAUGGUUGUUCUAUUGGUGGGGGCUGAUAAUUGGUGAUCUGGCUGAAAUGGUGUACAUUUAGACAAAGUGAAGAAAUCACACUCUUGGUGUUUCUUAUUGUUGUAGUUUUGAUGUAUAUUUUAUGGAUAAAUUUUUAAAAAUGGUGAAAUGAGCGAGAAUCCCGUUCUCAACAACAAUGAAAUUAACCAACAGACUAUUUAGAGAUCAAUAUCGGUAAUUAAAUUU